rnacentral:rRNA from 1 species
AUUAGGCAUGCAAGUCGUACGAGAAAGUUGGCUUCGGCCGAUGAGUACAGUGGCGCACGGGUGAGUAACGCGUGGAUAAUCUGCCCUUAAGUGUGGAAUAACGUACCGAAAGGCGCGCUAAUACCGCAUAAUGCCUGGCAACAUAAGUUGUCCGGCCAAAGAAGGCCUCUGCUUGCAAGCUUUCGCUAAAGGAUGAGUCCGCGUACCAUUAGCUUGUUGGUAGGGUAAUGGCCUACCAAGGCGACGAUCUUUAGCUGGUCUGAGAGGAUGAUCAGCCACACUGGGAUUGAGAUACGGCCCAGACUCCUACGGGAGGCAGCAGUCGAGAAUAGUCUACAAUGGUCGGAAGACUGAUAGUGCGACGCCGCGUGAACGAUGAAUCCCUUCGGGGUGUAAAGUUCUUUUAUAUGUGAGCAGUGCUUCUUAUAUUAACAGUAUGGGGAGAGAGAUAUUAGCAUAUGAAUAAGCAACGGCUAACUCCGUG